rnacentral:rRNA from 1 species
GACGAACGCUGGCGGCGUGCUUAACACAUGCAAGUCGAACGAUGAAGCAAAGAAUUGAAGCUUCGGCAGAAAUUCAUUUCGGAUUAGUGGCAGACGGGUGAGUAACGCGUGAGCAACCUACCUCUUACAAAGGGAUAGCCUCGGGAAACCGGGAUUAAUACCAUAUAACAUUGCGACGAAGCAUUUCGAUGCAAUCAAAGCUACGGCGGUAAGAGAUGGGCUCGCGUCCCAUUAACCAGAUGGUGAGGUAACGGCUCACCAUAGUAACGAUGGGUAACCGGCCUGGGAGGGGGAACGGUCACACUGGAACUGAGACACGGUCCAGACUCCUACGGGAGGCAGCAGUGGGGAAUAUUGCACAAUGGAGGGAACUCUGAUGCAGCGACGCCGCGUGAGUGAUGAAGGAAUUCGUUUCGUAAAACUCUGUUCUAUGGGAAGAAAAGGACUGUACCAUAGGAGAAAGCUCCGGCUAAAUACGUG